UAGGCACAGGAGUGAUGUUUCUUCCAAAACGCGAGCACUUAACGUUCUUUUGGUUGUUGGUGAUUGCAUCUUGGUUGGUCUCCAGCCAAUAUUGGUUUACAUGUCUAAGGUAGAUGGCCAGUUCAAGUUUAGUCCUAUAAGUGUUAACUUCUUGACCGAGGCUGCUAAGGUUCUUUUUGCUAUUAUUAUGCUUUUCAUCCAGGCUCGAAGUAAAAAGGUUGGGGAGAAACCUUUUCUCUCUUUUUCUAUCUUUGUACAGGCUGCUCGAAAUAACGUGCUUCUUGCUGUUCCAGCUCUCCUUUAUGCUAUUAAUAAUUAUUUGAAGUUUAUUAUGCAGC
rnacentral:misc_RNA from 1 species